rnacentral:rRNA from 1 species
CGCGUAGGCGGUCUCUUAAGUCAGAUGUGAAAGCCCGGGGCUUAACCUCGGAAAUGCAUUUGAAACUAAGGGACUUGAGUAUGGGAGAGGGAAGUGGAAUUCCUGGUGUAGCGGUGAAAUGCGUAGAUAUCAGGAGGAACACCGGUGGCGAAGGCGACUUCCUGGACCAAUACUGACGCUGAGGCGCGAAGGCGUGGGGAGCAAACAGGAUUAGAUACCCUGGUAGUCC